UACAGAGGUCUCAAGCGUUGUUCGGAUUCAUUGGGCGUAAAGGGUGCGUAGGUGGCGCGAUAAGUCGGGUGUGAAAUCUCGGAGCUUAACUCCGAAAUUGCAUUCGAUACUGCCGUGCUCGAGGACUGGAGAGGAGACUGGAAUUCAUGGUGUAGCAGUGAAAUGCGUAGAGAUCGUAAGGAAGACCAGUGGCGAAGGCGGGUCUCUGGACAGUUCCUGACGCUGAGGCACGAAGGCCAGGGGAGCAAACGGG
rnacentral:rRNA from 1 species